AUGUGUCAUAACAGUUAUCUCCCUAAAACGGAGCUGGCAGUUGUGGAUAGAAUGGGCUGUAUGUUGUCCCAGGUCAUCAGAGUGUCCCAUCUUGGUUUGGAAUAGUCCCCUCUUCUCUGAACCUCAGCUGCUUGUCUGUGUCAAACAGAAAAAAACAACUGUUUUUGUCAUAAUUUCAGUUGUAAUAAGGUUUUUGUGGGUGUAUUUAUUUCAUCAAGCAGAGUGAAUUUGUUGCCCUGUUGUUUAAUAUGAAAAUUAACUUCAGAUCAUGAAAGAAAAUUAAAAUUAUAUUGCUGUCUCAUUAUUUUUAGUCAUGGUUCAUCAGAACACAUUAAGAUUCAGAACCAAAGAUUAUAAGAAAUUGGAGGAAAUAUAGGACAGCAUUGCUUGGAUCCAGAUGCUUAUAUAUUGGAUGUAUGUCAUGGAAAUCCUCAAGCAGAAUGGGUGAUUAAACCCCAACCAAGUCUUUGAGAUUCUCCAAGAUGACUGCUAUUGCAUAUUAAAUGCCAAGGAGAUCCUACAUUAGGUGGAGAAAAGGCCACACUGCUUUUGAUGUGUUUGUUCCCACAAUCCUGUUGGUGUUUCUGGCCUGAGUGGUGGUGUCUCCCAGCAUCACCAACAUGAACUAUGGAAGAGGAGCAGGUUCACCAUUUGAGCUGAAGCCUUCUCAUGACAUUUCCUUGAUAAAAGUAAAAAGGAUGUGAUCCUUCAAGAAAAAAGUUCAGUCUAGAAUAUGGAGCUCUAAUCAUUUCUAGUAUUUUGACUUCUCAGCAGAAAUGAACUUGACCCUCUAACUGGGGAUAAGCAACAUGUCUCUUUGCAGCCAAUGCUACCAAACACGAAGGGUGAAAGAGACCCUUUUUUAUACUUAUAUACAUAUAUAUUGACCUUUUUGAGCAAGAAUGUCAGAAAUAGCCUUAAUUUCUGCCCUGCAAAAUAAUCUAGAUUUACCUUCCAAAGAGAACCAGUUUCCAAAGUGAAACAUACAAUAUUUAUGUUCUGACUUGCUCUUGAAUUGGAGGAGGAAGAACUUCUCUUUAAAGAAAACUGUAUUGUUAUGUAUGUCAUACUGUAUUGUGAUUGUCAGCAUUCUGGUGCAAAUGAACAUUUCUGUAUCAUUGACUGUUGAAAAUUGUUAUUUUUAGUUUGUUCUCUUAUGAGCACAGGUCCCCCCAGUGAAGCUUAUUUUAACAAAGGGUGCCUUAUACUUUCAUAACCUUCUUUGAGCCCUGUUUUCUCACCAUGUUUAUAGUGCUCAAUGACUGUCCACGUGCCAGACACAGAUUUCUUUUCCUGAUCAAAUAUACCAUUUUUUUAUAUUUCACAGCUGUAGAUAUUUACUUCUGCAGUCCCAAUUUUAAAACACAGAACUGCUUUUCUCCAAGAGUCCUGAAAAAUACUAUUAUACCCGGGUUUUAUAAGCUGUAAAAGCAGAUUUUGCUUUCAUUCAUUAAUCAUAGACAUGGCUUAGCACUGUGGAUUGGCUUUAGGCUUUAAAAUCAGAUGGAUUUUUUGUAAGCUGAAAACUGUCAAGAUCUCACAGAGCCAUUUUCCAGACCUGCUACUGGCCAGAAUACACAGUCCCCACAUUUCUAUUUUAGAGCAAAUCUAAAAUGUGCCAAGAGACUGGGCAGCUCUCCCUUUCAUCCUCUGACUACAGAUGUAGCCCAUCUAGGGUUAGCUAGAAAUGGGGACAGAGUUCUCAGUUAUCCCAGAUGUGUACUUUAGCUUGGAAUCCACAGAUAACUCUCUCUUGCAAUUCAAACAAUAGACAAAGUUGCUCACAAAAGCAGAAAAAAAAAUUUGGGGAGGGGUCUAUUUACCAAAUCUCAAAACAUAAUGUGAUAAUAUUUUAAGCAUGUAUUUAGAAGAAGUCUUUUAUAUGCUAUGUUAUGCCUUGAUGUCUAUACAAAAUAUUGCCUGUAUUCAACAUGUAGAUAAUUGCAUUUCUGGCCUUUAGGAUUUUAUUGUAUUUUUAUAGAAAACACAGUGAUCCAUUA